rnacentral:rRNA from 1 species
AGUGAACGCUGGCGGUAGGCCUAACACAUGCAAGUCGAACGGCAGCACAGUAAGAGCUUGCUCCUACGGGUGGCGAGUGGCGGACGGGUGAGGAAUACAUAGGCAUCUUCUUUUUCGUGGGGGACAACGUAGGGCAACUUACGCUAAUACCGCAUACGACCUACGGGUGAAAGCAGGGGAUCUUCGGACCUUGCGCGAUUGAAUGAGCCGAUGUCGGAUUAGCUAGUUGGCGGGGUAAAGGCCCACCAAGGCGACGAUCCGUAGCUGGUCUGAGAGGAUGAUCGGCCACACUGGAACUGAGACACGGUCCAGACUCCUACGGGAGGCAGCAGUGGGGAAUAUUGGACAAUGGGCGCAAGCCUGAUCCAGCCAUGCCGCGUGGGUGAAGAAGGCCUUCGGGUUGUAAAGCCCUGUUGUUGGGAAAGAAAAGCAGCAGGUGAAUACCCCGCUGUUCUGACGGUACCCGAAGAAUAAGCACCGGCUAGCUACGUG